GAUGAAGAACGUAGCGAAAUGCGAUAAGUAAUGUGAAUUGCAGAAUUCAGUGAAUCAUCGAAUCUUUGAACGCACCUUGCACCCUUUGGCAUUCCGAAGGGUAUGCUCGUUUGAGUGUCAUUGUACUCUCACUCUCCCGAUGCUUUUGGAUCGGGAGUGGUGGACUUGGGUGUUGCUGCUUUGCUGUGGCUCGCCUCAAAUGGAGUAGUGCAACUCUUGGUUGGACAUAGUACGGCGUGAUAAGUGUCUUCGCCGGCGCCUCAUUAUAGAGGGUGGCCGAUCGGGAGCUCUGUGCUUCAAACCGUCUUCGGACAACAUCUGACAACUUGACCUCAAAUCGAGUAAGACUACCCGCUGAACUUAAGCAUAUCAAUAAGCGGAGA
rnacentral:misc_RNA from 1 species